UAAUAGUGUAUAUUAAAGUUGUUGCAGUUAAAAAGCUCGUAGUUGAAUGUUGGUGUCGAACGAGCGGUCAGCUUCGGCUGUACUGCUCUCUCGACUCCUUCCUUCUGUGGACUACGUCGCACUUUACUGUGUGGCGCUAGGACGCAGAUCGUUUACUGUGAAAAAAUUAGAGUGUUCAAAGCAGGCCGUACGCUUGAAUACAUUAGCAUGGAAUAAUGGAAUAGGACGUCGGGCCUAUUUUGUUGGUUCUAGGACCGUCGUAAUGAUUAAUAGGGACAGUUGGGGCCGUUUAUAUUCCGUAGUCAGAGGUGAAAUUCUUGGAUUUACGGAAGAUAAACUACUGCGAAAGCAUUCGGCAAGGAUGUUUUCAUUGA
rnacentral:rRNA from 1 species